rnacentral:rRNA from 1 species
GGAGCGUUCUAUAGUAGGGUAAAGUAGAAAUGUAAAUUUCUGUGGACGAAAUAGAAGUGAGAAUGUUGGCUUGAGUAACGAAAACACUGGUGAGAAUCCAGUGCCCCGAAAACCUAAGGGUUCCUUUACAAGGCUCGUCCGUGAAGGUUAAGUCAGGUCCUAAGGUCAGGUCGAAAGACGUAGCCGAUGGAAAACAGGUUAAUAUUCCUGUACCCGAUACAAACUUUGAAGCGAGCGGGGACGGAGAAGGAUAGCUAAGCCGGCAGACGGUGUCCGGUUCAAGCAGGUAGGCUGGGGGUAUACGAAACCAAAGGUACCCCCUUAAGGCCGAGCGGCAAUGACGAGCUGCGCCUACGGGCAACGCGAAGUUAGUGAUUCCAUGCUUCCAAGAAAAGCCGCGCGUGGAGUGAAGUAUCGGACCGUACCCUAAACCAACACAGGUGGGUGGGGAGAGAAUCCCAAGGCGCUUGAGAGAACCGUGGCUAAGGAACUCUGCAAAUUGGCACCGUAACUUCGGGAGAAGGUGUGCCCCUGCUGGUGACCAAAGCGGAAUCAGCUGGUGGGGGUUGCAGUGACCAGGUGGUGGCGACUGUUUACCAAAAACAUAGCACUCUGCAAAACCGUGAGGUGAAGUAUAGGGUGUGACGCCUGCCCGGUGCUGGAAGGUUAAGAGGAGAGGUG